GUGGGUAACCUACCUCCGGGACGGGGAUAGCCAUCCUAACGGGUGGGUAAUACCCGGCGAGGUAGCGAAGGCGCAUGUUUUUGCUACGAAAUGAUUUAUCGCCUGGAGAGGGGCUCACGUGAUAUUAGCUGGUUGGUGGGGUAAUGGCCUACCAAGGCAAAGAUGUCUAGCGGGUGUGAGAGCACGACCCGCGCCACUGGCACUGAGACACUGGCCAGACUCCUACGGGAGGCUGCAGUCGAGGAUCUUCGGCAAUGGGCGCAGGCCUGACCGAGCGACGCCGCGUGCGCGAUGAAGGCCUUCGGGUUGUAAAGCGCUGUCGAGGGGGAGGAAGGCCGUAAAAUCGGCUUGACCUAUCCCUGGAGGAAGCACGGGCUAAGUUCGUGCCAGCAGCCGCGGUAAGACGAACCGUGCAAACGUUGUUCGGAAUCACUGGGCUUAAAGGGCGCGUAGGCGGUCGACCAAGUCCGGGGUGAAAUCUUUCGGCUUAACCGGAAAAGUGCCUUGGAUACUGGCCGGCUG
rnacentral:rRNA from 1 species